rnacentral:rRNA from 1 species
CGCAAGGGGAGCGGCAGACGGGUGAGUAACGCGUGGGAAUCUACCUAGCUCUACGGAAUAGCUCCGGGAAACUGGAAUUAAUACCGUAUACGUCCUUCGGGAGAAAGAUUUAUCGGAGUUAGAUGAGCCCGCGUUGGAUUAGCUAGUUGGUGGGGUAAUGGCCUACCAAGGCGACGAUCCAUAGCUGGUCUGAGAGGAUGAUCAGCCACACUGGGACUGAGACACGGCCCAGACUCCUACGGGAGGCAGCAGUGGGGAAUAUUGGACAAUGGGCGAAAGCCUGAUCCAGCCAUGCCGCGUGAGUGAUGAAGGCCCUAGGG